UACGGGAGGCAGCAGUGGGGAAUAUUGCACAAUGGGCGAAAGCCUGAUGCAGCUAUGCCGCGUGUAUGAAGAAGGCCUUAGGGUUGUAAAGUACUUUCAGCAGGGAGGAAAGAAAUAAAACUAAUAAUUUUAUUUUGUGACGUUACCUGAAGAAGAAGCACCGGCUAACUCCGUGCCAGCAGCCGCGGUAAUACGGAGGGUGCAAGCGUUAAUCAGAAUUACUGGGCGUAAAGAGCGCGUAGGUGGUUUUUUUAAAGUCAGAUGUGAAAUCCCUAGGCUUAACCUGGAACUGCAUUUUGAAACUGAAAAACUAGAGUAUCGUAGAGGGAGGUAGAAUUCUAGGUGUAGCGGUGAAAUGCGUAGAUAUCUGGAGGAAUACCUGUGGCGAAAGCGGCCUCCUAAACGAAUACUGACACUGAGGUGCGAAAGCGUGGGGAGCAAACAGGGAUUAGAUACC
rnacentral:rRNA from 1 species